CCCGUCACACCACGAGAGUUUGUAACACCCGAAGUCGGUGGGGUAACCUUUAUGGAGCCAGCCGCCUAAGGUGGGACAGAUGAUUGGGGUGAAGUCGUAACAAGGUAGCCGUAUCGGAAGGUGCGGCUGGAUCACCUCCUUUCU
rnacentral:rRNA from 1 species